ACACGAUACGAGCAGUGGCUUCUUGACCAGUCUCGAGAAGCUUUGCAAUUUCACGGCGCAUUUUAUUAAUUUGCGCUUCUCUUCUGUUCCUGAUUAGCUUUAUCAGAGAAUCUUCUUGCUGAUUCGUAAUUACCAUUUUGCAGCUUUGAAGCCUUUAUUGAAGAAUGAAUCGAGCAUCGACAUGAUCCAAUCACUCUUGUUACAACGGUUAAACUUCGUAAAGCAUCGGAUACAGGGCAGGUCAGAGUUGAGGAGGAUAUAAAUGACCUCUAUGAAUAGAGAUGGCAAUUUGAAGGAUUGCCAGCGGGCUUGGUCGAAAGGGAUUGUUGCGGGUCGGGAUUGGAUUAUGGGGUCCCAUGAAUGUAUUUUCAUUUCAUCUCUUCAGAUGUCCAAACAACGAUCGAGUGUGAAUGGCGAUUUUCAUGGUGAUCUUCACCGACAAAAGGGAAGAGGCUCUUGCGGUAACGCUUCGCCGUUUGACAGUUUGUCUUGUCUUCCUUCAAUCUUCCAUAUGCACCCGUGGAGCUUCGCCAGCUAAAGAGAUGAACUUUGGCGACACCAACAAAACUAAUAGAGAUCCUUGAAGGCGAUUCGAGCUCAGGUGGUGCUUACACUCUUCCAUACGUCAUCAAUCAGCAGGAGAGAAGCUCAGAUGGUGCAUGUUCAGAAGUUUGUAUUUCAUUUUAAUUAUAUUGAAGAUUUGUGUUAACUUUCGAGUCUAACUUGCUGAGUUGUUUGAUAAGGACAUUUGUUUGUUGAUUGUAACUUGUGUUGUCAUUAUGUUCUAUAACUGUUAUACAUAUAUAUAUAUACAUUUUCACUUCA